UUGCCGUGAUGAAACCCAUGCGUGUCAGCUGACUGUGGCAGUCUGAGUGUGGGGCUGCUCCGGUGGGCGUUCUGCUGACCUGUGCUCUCCUCACACCCAGCUCCCUCAGACAUGAUCUUACACACACAUCUGAUGCAA